rnacentral:rRNA from 1 species
GACGACGGGUAGCCGGCCUGAGAGGGCGACCGGCCACACUGGGACUGAGACACGGCCCAGACUCCUACGGGAGGCAGCAGUGGGGAAUAUUGCGCAAUGGGCGAAAGCCUGACGCAGCGACGCCGCGUGGGGGAUGACGGCCUUCGGGUUGUAAACCUCUUUCAGCAGGGACGAAGUUGACGUGUACCUGCAGAAGAAGCGCCGGCUAACUACGUGCCAGCAGCCGCGGUAAUACGUAGGGCGCAAGCGUUGUCCGGAAUUAUUGGGCGUAAAGAGCUCGUAGGUGGCUUGUCACGUCGGGUGUGAAAGCUUGGGGCUUAACUCCAGGUCUGCAUUCGAUACGGGCUGGCUAGAGGUAGGUAGGGGAGAACGGAAUUCCUGGUGUAGCGGUGAAAUGCGCAGAUAUCAGGAGGAACACCGGUGGCGAAGGCGGUUCUCUGGGCCUUACCUGACGCUGAGGAGCGAAAGCGUGGGGAGCGAACAGGAUUAGAUACCCUGGUAGUCCACGCUGUAAACGUUGGGCGCUAGGUGUGGGGACCUUCCACGGUUUCCGCGCCGUAGCUAACGCAUUAAGCGCCCCGCCUGGGGAGUACGGCCGCAAGGCUAAAACUCAAAGGAAUUGACGGGGGCCCGCACAAGCGGCGGAGCAUGUUGCUUAAUUCGACGCAACGCGAAGAACCUUACCAAGGCUUGACAUUGCCCGGAAACACUCAGAGAUGGGUGCCUCUUCGGAUCGGGUGACAGGUGGUGCAUGGUUGUCGUCAGCUCGUGUCGUGAGAUGUUGGGUUAAGUCCCGCAACGAGCGCAACCCUUGUUCAAUGUUGCCAGCACGCUCCUUCGGGGGUGGUGGGGACUCAUUGGAGACUGCCGGGGUCAACUCGGAGGAAGGUGGGGAUGACGUCAAGUCAUCAUGCCCCUUAUGUCUUGGGCUGCAAACAUGCUACAAUGGCCGGUACAGAGGGCUGCGAUACCGCAAGGUGGAGCGAAUCCCUAAAAGCCGGUCUCAGUUCGGAUUGGGGUCUGCAACUCGACCCCAUGAAGUCGGAGUCGCUAGUAAUCGCAGAUCAGCAACGCUGCGGUGAAUACGUUCCCGGGCCUUGUACACACCGCCCGUCACGUCACGAAAGUCGGCAACACCCGAAGCCCGUGGCCCAACCAGCUUGCUGGGGGGAGCGGUCGAAGGUGGGGCUGGCGAUUGGGACGAAGUCGUAACAAGGUA